UGCUUAAAUAGCCUAUGGGAUUCUUGCUCA
rnacentral:piRNA from 1 species